CGGCGGACGGGUGAGUAACGCGUGGGUAACCUGCCUCAUACGGGGGGAUAACAGUUAGAAAUGACUGCUAAUACCGCAUAAGACCACGGUACCGCAUGGUACAGUGGUAAAAACUCCGGUGGUAUGAGAUGGACCCGCGUCUGAUUAGGUAGUUGGUGGGGUAACGGCCUACCAAGCCGACGAUCAGUAGCCGACCUGAGAGGGUGACCGGCCACAUUGGGACUGAGACACGGCCCAG
rnacentral:rRNA from 1 species